AACUUCCAAUUGAUGUAGGACGUACUGUGUAGAAGAUUUGUUAAAGCUUGGGAACAGGAAAGUGUCAAUGAUUUAUGGCUGUUGGUAUAAUUUUAAACACUAUUUGACAUCAUUUGUAUUCCUCUUUGACAAGUUCCACACAUUUCCUUAACAUUUGAAAAUGUGCCACUGUCGAUUAUGUCUUUGUUGGGAUUAUUAUGAUCUAGCGUCUAGGCCUAGUUUUCUUCCCUUGAUUGAAGUAAGUUCAAAGUAGUUUCCCCUUGCAUAGACAAUUUGGUAUCCUUGUCAGAAAUGUAAUUUUAUUGGGCUGAAAGGUAAAAUCUUGUUCUGCUCUCAAAUCAGAUGAAGAUAUAUUGUUAAAGGCAUUUUACAAUCCCACGUCACAGCUGCACAAGUAUUUUUCUUGUGUUCUUGUUUUCUGGUCUCUCAUUCUGUGAUAAGCAGGUUUUAUUCAGUCUCUGCUUUCACAAUCUUCUCUCAUCCAUUCAAACAAGCUUGACAACUGUUACUAAAAUUUUAUUCACUCACCCCCCUCUAAAAACUUUUUGCCUUUAACGAUGUUGGAAAUGAUCGAGAAAAAAUCUUUGGUUUUCGGGUUUUGAAACAAAUGACAACGUCUGUCUUUUUUGAUGUAACUGAAGAAAACGCAGCCCAACGAAAAAAUGUCGAGCGACAAACGAGCUCUGAUUGCUUUAAUUUCAUCUUCGCUUUUGCCUUUCAUUUCCAGGUAUUCCGGGGCCAUGUAGGCUGGAGUGCCUUUUAGGCCGCUGCUGGUCGAAAAACUUCCGGAAUUGGUCACGGUCUUGCAGAACCCGAAAUCGGAGAUUUUGAGGACAAAUCUCGGAGAAAUCAACACGUUGGCCGGCUUGAUGUCUCGAUGAACGAAGCGUUUGGAGUGAAUGUAAGCCAAUCCACUGGUCAUUUGAAAUAACCCAUCGACCUCGGCAGGCAUCUGGCCUGAAUAAUCUCCUCGAAUGUAAUCGUCGACCGUCGCAACGCAAAGCUCCAAAAUAAGAAUCUUUAGGACUUCAUCCAAUUUCCAGCGCUCGUUGGGAUUUUUUUUCGUCAUUCCAUCAAUCACGGCGAAUGCGUAAUGAUUCGGUGACAACUUUCCAUUGUCGAGAACCUUUAUAUCUGAUUGGAUGUUGGAGAUAGUUCCAAACUCGUCGGGCGAUCCUCCAUUUUUGGCAAACGGAUGGCAGCCUUCUGUGAGGCGAGUAAUAGAUGCGGGUGCCUUUUGGGCCACUAGUCAUCGAGAAACUGCCGGAACUUGUCACGGGCCGACAGACUCCGAAAUCGGAAAUUUUUAGAACAAUCGAUUGAGAAAUCAACACGUUGGCCGGCUUGAUGUCUCGAUGGACCAAACAUUGGGAGUGGAUGUAAGCCAAUCCGCUUGCCAUUUGAAUCAACGCAUCGAUCUCGGUGGGCAUCUCCCUUUUAUAGUUUCCUUUGAUGUAAUCGUUGACUGUUGCAAUACAUAAUUCCAGUAUCAGAUACCU